rnacentral:tRNA from 1 species
GCGCUCUUAGUUCAGACUGGUAGAACGCAGGUCUCCAAAACCUGAUGUCGUAGGUUCAAAUCCUACAGGGCGUG